rnacentral:tRNA from 1 species
GCUGCCGUAGCUCAGUGGUAGAGCACCCCCUUGGUAAGGGGGAGGUCGAAAGUUCAAUCCUUUUCGGCAGCACCA